ACCGGGGGGCUUUGGGGAGAAAAAGGAAAAAUAAAAUCUUUAUAAAAAAAAAAAAACAAUUAUCUGGCCCUUUACCAAAGUUUGCCCAUCUUUAGUCUAUGAAAUAGGAGCAACGGUAUAUGCCUACUCCACUGUGUAUGGAUAAAAUGUGCAUUAUGUGCAUAGCACCAAGUGGAAACUCACGAAAAGUUGGUUCAUCCACUCUCUUUCCUUUUCUGUCUUAAUUCCCUUCCAUAGAGAGUUCUUAUUUCAGGGCUUAAGCCACAUAAAACCAUAAAAAAAGGAUGGCAGGCCACCUGUAACACCGUGCACUGCACAGAUGAGGCCUUCAGGCAGUAAGGCUGUGUUUGUCACCUCUAUCUUUCUGCUCCUCAGCAUCCUCUGUGGGGAUGCUGGGGAAGGGGCCAGAACUCCUUGUGUCCUCUGGGGUGUCUGGGUCCCAGACAGAGAUGGGGGUGGCCCUGCAUGGGCUGCCGUAGAGAGCAGCUUCUCUUGGAUUUAUCGGAGGCUGCAUCAUUUCUUGGUUAGGGGACUGAAACUGGGCUUGUGGCACAAAAGGUGCCUGCGGCCGCAGUUGAGUUCAUCUCAAGAUGACUGCUUGAGGGGAUGCAGCUGGAAUAGAGGGUCUUGAUUCGGUUUGAGGGAUGGCAUGGAGUCGUGGAAAGAACUGACAUAUGGGAUCUGGGCUGGAAUCCCAGCUCUGCCCCUCACAGACUCUGGGAUGGUCCCUCUCUGCACAUCUUUUCUUCAUCUGAAAAGUAGGGGUGAUGGUUUCUCCUGGGGAGGGCUAUGAACAGGGUUCCCCAGUGGGUAAGCCUGGGGAGUGCUGGGUUUUGUCUUUUUCUGCACUGAAACCCUGUGCUAGAACAGUGCCUGGCCAAAGACCUGUUUUGAAAGGGGGUAAAAUACGUGGAGUGCCUGCCACACAAUCAGUUCUCAUUAAAUAGUCAUAUUGCUGUGUCUGUUCUAAACUAAGAACCAGCAGAAUAUGGCCCACAGGCCAAGUCUGGCCCACAGCCUGAUUUUGUAAAUAAAGUUUUAUUGGGACACAGCUCCACGCCUUGGUUUACAUGUUGUCCAGGGCUGCUGGACAGUGGUGGAGUUGAGUAGUUGUGAGAGAAACAUGGCCUGCAAAGCCCAAAAUAUGUACUAUCUGGCUCUUUAUAGCGAAUCUUUGUGGCUCCUGCUCUGAAUGUCAAGGCGCCUCUGUCCGUCAGUGAUCGAGGAUUUCAUUUUCCUCUGAUUGCAGGUGUGCAAACAGUUAAAUGUUGAAAACAAGCUGCUAGCUUGAAGUAUGUAUUCUCGAUGCCCUCUCUUAAGAUACUCAGUUUUUCCUUUGAUGCUCUAAUUCCACCGCAAUAUUCCGGCACGGUCAGAAUGGACUUAUCUCCUGCUCUCGUACCUAAGAUGGUGUCACUUUCAUUUCUGUGUAAAAAGAAACUCAAACCACCUGUCAACCACUGGUAUAUUCAUUAGGACUGGCCAUGUACCUUGCAACAAGUCUAGGCUUAGGGAAGCACACAGGAGAUGAGUCAAGGUAAAAAAGGAUGACCGACUAGAUACAGCUUACUAUGUGGUAUCAAUGGAUAGAUGGCUGACAGGGAGCAGGAGGGAGUCCACUGUCUGGGCCACAGAGUGUGUAGGUUUCUGAUUCAUUCGUCCAUUGUCAUGAACAGAAUGACCUCAAACACCUUAGUUAGCCUCACUUAACCUUGAUUUUCCAAUCUAUAAAAUGGCAACAAUGAUACUCACCACACUGGGUUGUUGGGAAGACUAAAUAAGGUAAUGUAUCAGGUACCAGAAACAUGGUAACUAUUCACCUAUUUUUAUAAUGAAAUAAAUCCUUUAUUUCUCAGUUUGGGAGAGAGAUUCAAAGACCUCUGCUACAGUCGGCCCUCCUUUUGAUGGUCAGGACCCACAGUUGGUUUUGUGCAGUGGUGAAUGGGAUCUUCUGGGACUGAACAGCAUUUAUCAAGUACUCUUUGGUCUUCGUUUGAAGGGCUCCCCGUCCACUGGGCCAGCUGAGCAAUGCGGGCUGGACCCUUGCCCUGCUACCAUUGCAUAGGCAGCAGAUCUGUUUCUUCUCUUCCCUCCAGAAGGACAGAACGACAAGCCCCCGGAUUCCUAAGCCCCAACGAGAGGACCAUUCAGGAACCACUGAAGGCUGAGUUCACCAAGUGGCUGUAAGACAUGGAGUAUGUAACGUGGCAGCGUGGAGAACAGGGAAGACCCGGAGCUGGGCAAUGCUGGCCUCUACCAUGUCUGUCCACUAACACAUCAUCACUUCGGAAGCAUCUGUGCAAAGAGGCGGGAGAGGGAACCAGGAGACCUGGUUGCUGGAUCAUGAUUUUGCCAAUCCCAGAGGCAACCUGGAGUAUGCCUGGGAAGCUUUCGGUCUUGGUUGUGGGAUGGGCAAAGUGCCGUGGAGCUCCGGGGUUGAUUCCUCUCCAGACACUUGUAACACUGCUUCAGGAAGACUUUCCCAACAUCUGGAGAAUUUCUGUGUUCCCUCUGCCAGUCUGGGAUGCCUAUGUACCAUGUUGCUGGGUCUGGGAUUCAGGCUGAAGCCAAAGGCAGUUAUCCUUUAAAGUAUCCAGCUGUAAAAAGCCACAGCCAUCCUCAUGCUCUGGGUUGCCCAGAAAUUCCAAGAAGUUUUCUUCUGCCUCACUGACGGGAACAGACUGGAAUGCACUACCGCUGAUAACAGAAGAGGCUAAAGGCCACGGAAGCAGGCAGCCCCAGGAGCAAAUCCUUGCGCCACCACUUUCUGCUCAAAGAUAUCGUACAAGUUACUUAGCCUUGGUCUUAGGUCACAUUUCCUGGGAAAGAGAAACUGAGACUGAAGUUUGUGAGGAGGCUAAUUGGGGAGUGAGCUCAGGAAGAACACUUGAGAUGGGGAGGAAGGCAGGAUUGUGCAGAGGGAGGAGUUGGGCCAUGAUGCAGUUUUAGUGGAAACCACCGGCAAUCUCACAGGGACCCUGGAGCUGGGAUGACCCUGCAGAGUUGUCCCAGUUGAGGAUAAGUGAUGGGGCUUUUGUACAUCCAUGUUGACUGGUCCCAGAUGCUGUCUGCCUUCUGAGAAAAGGGAUGAGAUGAAAGCUCCGUUUGGCCGAGUCUUGGGACAGCAGCCAGAGCUCCUGGUAGCAGGCAGAAUGGGUGCCUUCAGCCUGAGAGGGCACCUGGGUAGCCACUACAGCUUUGCCAACAUGCUCAAUAUAUCACAGGAUCAAGGAGGUGUCCUUGGUCACUUGACCUAAAAUUGCAACCCCUUAAUCUCAUAUUCCCUCUACCCUGUCUUUAAUCCAUAGUAUUUAUGGUGAACUGACAUACUUUGUACUAAUUUGUCUAUUGUCUUUCUGGAUCUGCUCUACAGUGUACUCCAAGCUACUUAAGAGCAGGGACUUUGUUUUGCUGGUGACUGUAUGCCCAGUUCCUAAAACAGGAGUUGGCAUGGAGUGAACUCUCAAUAAAUAUUUAAUUGAAUGGAAUAAAUGAAUAAAUAAAUAUAACACAUAGUGAGUGUUCACUAUAUGAGAAGCAUUCAAGUUCUCAGCACUUGCAGUAAGUAAUAUUCACAACAACUCCAUAGGGAGACCCUAUUAUUAUCCCCAUUUUACAGAUGAAGAAACUGAGGCACAGCAAGUUUAACUGUCUUGCCAAGGCCAUGCAGCUUAGAUGUCUUAUAUUCAAGAUCAGAAGAGGCAACAGGAUUCAUAUUCCAAGGCACUCUCCCCUCCUCCCUCUUCAGCAGACGCUCAGUCAGAGCCAGCUAUUCCUUCCCUUCCUUCCUUCCUCUCUUUGCUGUCUCCUGGAAUGCUUGUAUGGGAAUCACAGAGUCGCACGCUUCAGAUAUCUGGGGUGAAUCUUUGGUGUUUUAUGCAUUCAAAGGGUGAGAGCUUGGCUGAGCUCAAACUGCUGCCCUCUCUUCCCAUUUUCUCCAUACUGGUGCCUUAGAACCUGGUCAAGUCACACAACUUGGUAUUUUUUUCUUUAUUACUAUUUUUUUUUAACAGCUGUUGACAAAUGCAGAGGCUAUUAUGGUUUAUGGUGUUCCUUUGCAUGCACCAUCUCAUUUGAUCAGCUCAACAGCCCAGGGAUAUGGGCAGUGCAAGGAUGGCCACUGCAGUUUAUCGAUGAGGAACCAGAGGCUCAGAGAGGUUGCGUGAAGCUAUUUGGAAGAAGGGUUUCGUUUCUAGUUAUAAGUAAGUCCUAUUUUUCUCUGUUUUGCUCUUUCUUUUUCCUUAUUGGGGGCUGGAGGGUAGGAAUUAAGCCUGGAGCAUUUCUGCUCUCCAGAUUUAGUGAAAGUCACUUGGAACACUGGUGAGCAUUUCUCAAUGGCUUCUCCCUACUUGACAGAUGAGGAAACUGAGGCACAAAGAGGUGACAUGAUUCCCCCCGGUUGUGUAGUGCCGUCACUGGAACUGGGGUGUUAUCUCAAAGCUCACGUGCUCUUUAGGGCCCCUGCUGCCUCUUCCAAGUUCGGUGGGCGACUUCAAAGCUGCUUCUACAUUUCCUCGAGCAAUAAUAGGGUUCAUGCUUCAAAUUAAAAAAAAAUAAUACUAAUUAAACAUUAAAAAGCCAAGUUUACUUUAAAUGCACUGAGGGUGCAUUAUCACACUGCCGGCCUGAGGAGAUAUUCAAGGAGAUAGUCUUGGCAGAAUUUACUCAUUAUAAAGAGCUCCUUUUAUCCAGUUACAUCAGCCAAAUUUCACGGCAUCUUUCAGAGGCCUAAGGAGCACAGGAACAUGUAUUCUCCUCUUGGAAUUUAAUCUAAUCUUAAAGAAGGCCAGGUAGUCUUCCUGAGGCUGAGCUCCAGGCCACAGGCUCCAACCGGGAGAAAUGUAGCUUGAAAGAGCCUGUUUUACACAGGCCAGUGGAAUACUUUGUUUCUUUGCUUCUGAGCUCAAGGGCAGGUUUGAGUGGGCACCAAAGGUGGCUGUCACCAGGCAGGAAGUACACAGAAAUAUAUAUUUACUUCUUGAGAGAAAUGAUUAGGAGACUGAAUGUCAAAGUUCUGUCUUCAUGGUGGAAAAACUCAAGUCAGUUCCUGGACUAUCAGAGCUCCUCACGGCCAUAGUUUGAGAACCAUCACUCCAAUCUACACAAUGGUGGCUGUGGAGGUUUUAAGACCUGCACGCAUCUCCUUCCACAGGCCUUCUGUCAAGAGGUGGAGUCUAGUUUUCCCUCUGCCUUGAAAUGGGGCAGAAAUCUGUGACUGCCUUAACCAAUAAAAUGCCGGAGAAGUGACCAUAAGUGACUUCUGAGGCUAGAUUAGGGACAGUCAUACAGCUUUUCUCUGGCUCUCUCUUGGGACAUGUGCUUUUGGAUUGCGACCCUGAAGCUACCAUGCUGGAGGGACCACAUGAUGGACCACAUAGAGAGAGAGAGAGAGGUGCCUGAGGACCCAAGCUGAUGUCGUGUAGAACAGAAAUGAGCCUUCUCUGCUGAGUUUGGCCCAAAUUGCACAAUCAUGAACUGUGUAGAUUGCCAUUAUUUAAUUAAUUAAUUUAUUUAUUUUUUGAGGAAGAUCAGCCCUGAGCUAACAUCUGCUGCCAA